UACGUAGGGGGCAAGCGUUGUCCGGAAUCAUUGGGCGUAAAGCGCGCGUAGGCGGCCCGGUAAGUCCGUUGUGAAAGUCAAGGGCUCAACCCUUGAAAGCCGGUUGAUACUGUCGGGCUAGAGUCCGGAAGAGGCGAGUGGAAUUCCCGGUGUAGCGGUGAAAUGCGCAGAUAUCGGGAGGAACACCAAUGGCGAAGGCAGCUCGCUGGGACGGUACUGACGCUGAGGCGCGAAGGCGUGGGGAGCGAACGGGAUUAAGAUGACC
rnacentral:rRNA from 1 species